GACGAACGCUGGCGGCGUGCUUAACACAUGCAAGUCGAACGGUGAAAGCGGAGCUUGCUCCGCUGGAUCAGUGGCGAACGGGUGAGUAACACGUGGGCAACCUGCCCCUCACUUCGGGAUAACUCCGGGAAACCGGGGCUAAUACCGGAUAUGACCUCCUUGGGCAUCCUUGGAGGUGGAAAGUUUUUCGGUGAGGGAUGGGCCCGCGGCCUAUCAGCUUGUUGGUGAGGUAAUGGCUCACCAAGGCGACGACGGGUAGCCGGCCUGAGAGGGUGACCGGCCACACUGGGACUGAGACACGGCCCAGACUCCUACGGGAGGCAGCAGUGGGGAAUAUUGCACAAUGGGCGCAAGCCUGAUGCAGCAACGCCGCGUGAGGGAUGACGGCCUUCGGGUUGUAAACCUCUUUUAGUAGGGAAGAAGCGAAAGUGACGGUACCUGCAGAAAAAGCACCGGCUAACUACGUGCCAGCAGCCGCAGUAA
rnacentral:rRNA from 1 species